rnacentral:tRNA from 1 species
GAGGGCAUCGCUCAAUGAUAGAGCGCGUGCUUCGCACGCACAAGGUCCUGGGUUCGAUCCCCAGGCCCUCC